UAGGGAAUCUUCCACAAUGGACGCAAGUCUGAUGGAGCAACGCCGCGUGAGUGAAGAAGGUUUUCGGACCGUAAAGCUCUGUUGUUGGUGAAGAAGGAUAGAGGUAGUAACUGGCCUUUAUUUGACGGUAAUCAACCAGAAAGUCACGGCUAACUACGUGCCAGCAGCCGCGGUAAUCGUAGGUGGCAAGCGUUGUCCGGAUUUAUUGGGCGUAAAACGAGCGCAGGCGGAAGAAUAAGUCUGAUGUGAAAGCCCUCGGCUUAACCGAGGAAUUGCAUCGGAAACUGUUUUCUUGAGUGCAGAAGAGGAGAGUAGAACUCCAUGUGUAGCGGUGGAAUGCGUAGAUAUAUGGAAGAAUACCAGUGGCGAAGGCGGCUCUCUGGUCUGCAACUGACGCUGAGGCUCGAAAGCAUGGGUAGCGAACAGGAUUAGAUACCCUUGGU
rnacentral:rRNA from 1 species